AGUGGCGGACGGGUGAGUAACGCGUGAGGAUCUGCCCUUAGGAUGGGGACAACAGUUGGAAACGACUGCUAAUACCCAAUGUGCCGAAAGGUGAAAGCUUUAGCGCCUGAGGAUGAACUCGCGUCUGAUUAGCUAGUUGGUAGUGUAAUGGACUACCAAGGCGACGAUCAGUAGCUGGUCUGAGAGGAUGAUCAGCCACACUGGGACUGAGACACGGCCCAGACUCCUACGGGAGGCAGCAGUGGGGAAUUUUCCGCAAUGGGCGAAAGCCUGACGGAGCAACGCCGCGUGAGGGAAGACGGCUCGUGGGUUGUAAACCUCUUUUCUCUAGGAAGAAGAACUGACGGUACUAGAGGAAUCAGCAUCGGCUAACUCCGUGCCAGCAGCCGCGGUAAUACGGAGGAUGCAAGCGUUAUCCGGAAUUAUUGGGCGUAAAGCGUCCGUAGGCGGUUUUACAAGUCUGCUGUUAAAGCGUGCAGCUCAACUGCAUAUAGGCAGUGGAAACUGUAAGACUAGAGUGUAGUAGGGGUAGAGGGAAUUCCCAGUGUAGCGGUGAAAUGCGUAGAUAUUGGGAAGAACACCGGUGGCGAAAGCGCUCUACUGGGCUACAACUGACGCUGAUGGACGAAAGCUAGGGGAGCGAAAGGGAUUAGAUACCCCUGUAGUCCUAGCCGUAAACGAUGGACACUAGGUGUU
rnacentral:rRNA from 1 species